rnacentral:tRNA from 1 species
GAGGGGAUAGCUCAGGAAUAGAGUGUGGGCCUAGCAUGCACAAGGUCCUGAGUUCAAUCCCCAGUACCUCCA